rnacentral:misc_RNA from 1 species
UUAAGUUCAGCGGGUAGUCCUACCUGAUUUGAGGCCAGAUGUUAUGAAUAUUAAUCCGAAGAUCAAUGGAUUAGAAAGCGGUCUUUAGUCCUGCAACAGGGCCAUCCGAAGAUGUCCUUAGCGAAAUACUUAUUACGCCAAGUCAAACCAUGUCACGAGACAGAUCCAGCUAUUACUUUUAAGACGAGCCGACUUCGACA